AUAAUAUACUUUUCUCCUUCAGAAAAUGUACUUUCUGGGAGAGUUCCUCAUCUUUAGUUAUCCAAUCAUUCCACUGCACUUUUUUUCUGCAAUAUUUUUAAUUUCUAAAAGAAGAGCCUGUUUAUAUUCUGUCGCUUUAAAAACAAUCCUGUGUGUUUAAUAAAAACCUGCCCUCCUUUGAUCUCUUUCAGACAAGGAUGUAACUUUCCUUCUGAUUCCUGGAUGACAUUUAUGCCAAGGUUCUUCUUGCUGGUAACAGAUUUGCUGGACAGUCUUGCUUCACACGCCCCACAAGUCUUCUGCCCCUUGGCUGCUAGUCUUCACCUAGAAGAGGCACUACCAUUCGGAUGGAUGGGAAGUUCUGUGCAGGUGAAUAGGCUUGCUGAUUAAUGUGACUGCAGGCUCAUCAGCUGGGGAGCAUACUAUUAAUUAGACCCCAAAUAUUAGACCCCUUUUCUGGGGGAUUACUCUUCCCGAAAAGAAUCUUUCUGCCUGGAUGACUUAUAAGGGCCAGAAACACUCCAAAGCCAAGUGAAGGAGGGUUCAGGCAGUUAUAUCAGAUGUUUUGACUUUCACAGAAAUCCUGUUUUUAAUAUGGGCAUCUCAUCCUCACUAUGGCUCCAUUAAAAGAUUAUGGGUUAAACUUCCAUUAUUUCUCCCAGAGACUUGUUAAUAUCUUUUAUGCUCUGCCAUCCUCUCUCCCGUUUGUCCUUAAGGGUCAAUACCCUAAUUUGUUCCUUCACUUCAUUUACCCUUGGUUUCGGGAAAGAGCAAAUACUAAAUAUUUGGGCUGAAUCAGGACAUUUAAGCAGUGUUCUCCCUUUGCUUCAGACCUCAAAGAGAAAUUCUGUUAUUGUGGCAGCAUUUCCAGUUAGGUGGAAAUAUAUUUCUCCUUAAUCUUCUUUUAUAAAUAAUGAAAUCCUCAUAGAUGACAGACUGCUGAUUUUUAUCUAUGUUAGAUCCUGCCUGCAACCCUAAGAAAACAAAGCUUGGUCCCAUGGGGUCAGGUCUUUUUAGGUGGGUGAGUUUGUCUUUCCUCCCUGUCAUCACUACCUCCACCAUCACCCCACAUAGAAACACAUUCCUCCUGGAAGAUGAUCUACUUCCAGGGAUCACUGAGAGAUAAUCCUGAAAUCUGAAACAGGCUUCUCACCUCCUGCAUCGGCUCUGCCCCAUAACCACAUACACCUGACCUACUUCCUCAUUCACUUUCUCUUGGUAGGAGGAGAAGGACUCUGGCUAUUUUUAACGACAGAGCCAGUCAAGCAUGAUGCAGAAAGCAAAUCUCUGAUUGGCUGCAAAAUUGAUAAAAAAUACAACAUCUCAAAAUUAUUUUUGGAUACUUGUUGCCCUUCAAUGAAAUUAAGAAGGAAGAAUCCACCAAAAUAUCACCUCUGAACAACUGGAUCUUAUUAACUUUAAUAGUAAGUUUAAACACAAAUUCAUUCGUUUGCCCAAGCCAACUCAAUCUUUCUGAUUUUAGAUGGAAAAUUAUUUUCAAAGUAUUUGGAAAUUUGACAAUUCAUUCCCCCUCUUCCAAUGAACAGGAAAUGGAAUUUAGACAUUCUAUGAAAGACUUUACAUCAGUAUUUUAUGAUUUCCUAAUAUCCUGUUUAAGCUAAUGAUUUUAGAAAAAUUUAUAAACUGGUUAUAUUUCCUAGUAGUUGAUAAAAUGUAUAAUGAUUACUUCAUAUGAAGCCAGAAUCAGUAAGUUAGGCUGAUAGAGAGAAAUUGGAAUAGAAACCACUCAUUCAAACAUCUUCUGAAGACUUAUGUGCCAAUCAUCAAAAUGCUGAGUACAGUGCACAUCUUUACAUCAAUGUGUAUCUCCAUUUAAAGUGUAAUCCUCUACAUGGGUUGCUUAACAAUGACUACUGUCAAGCAAUCAUACGCAAAUGAAAGUUUAUAAACCAUUUCUGCCACCUUCAGCAGUAACUAGCAACUACCACAGCUGGUCUGGCAAGGAGGGUGAAAAGGCAUAAGACAGAGCCACCAUAAUCAAACAUGCAAAUCCUUAGUAUGUGGACUAAGUAGCUGUGGUCUUCAGUAUUUCCCAAACCAGUUAUUCUGGCUCUCAAAAUUCCUAAUCCAGGAUACAGGUUCCUCAUCUUUGUAUCAGCCUUCACUACUCACACUUCCUUUCCAUUCUGGUAUCUUUACCCCCAGAUACCCAAAUAUCUUUCUGGAGCAUGUCAUUUUCUAGGUUAAGACCUUUUCAUGUCCUCUGUAAAAACCUUUUAAAGAAGUGUAGUGGGUUAAUUAGGAUCUAAUUCCUACCAUAUUCCUACACUAAAUGUACUUUAAGAUACAAAUAAUUCUAGAAAUGUAAUGUUCCUUCGGUGGCUAAAUAUACAUAGCUCAUCAAUAAUGGACAAAUGGAAGGUGUGAUUUUCUCAGUUUUUCAUAUGCCAGUUGUAAAGGCAAAUUCCAGAAAAGAGAAAGAAAUUAUUGGGAAUCAUGAAAUGCUCAACCAUAAAGCACUUGAGACAAACAUAUAUGGUUUAACCAAAUAAUAACUAAGCUAGUGUUCACCAGGGUAAAAACGCCUAAUGCUGUGUAAGACAUCAAAGAAAAAAACUUAACCAUCUAUUUAUACUACAAUUUGCCCUUCCAGUUUGUUUCAGAAAGGAACAAUUUGAGAUAUUUUAAACAUCAUAACAAAAGAAUGUAUAUUACUAAGGAAAGAAGAGCUGCUUGUCAGCAGAGUUUGCAUUUUUUUUUAAAAAAGUAAUAUCCCACUGAUUAUACAAUUAUCCAUCUGUGUACUUCUCCGUAAAACUGUAAAUUUUCAUCUACAGUGAAUAAUUUUAUAUUGACUAGUUAAGACUGCUCUUCCAAGGAGUCCUAUGGCAAAUAUAUUAAGUAUAUAAUCAUUUAUACACCUUUAUAUCUAAAUUCAUACAUCAAAUUUGCUUUAAUUAGAAUAAACUGGAAUUGUAGCUUGUAAGUAUUCAGCUUUCUCAGUAAAUAUGGCACGUUUGGUUUUAAUGAGCCUGACUUAACAAAAGCAGAAAUAUUCCUGAAAAACUGGAUAUACCACAAUUUUCCUCUUGAUGAUUACAAGAGCAUAUCUAUGUUUCUUAAGGGAAAAAAAAUUUUUCUGUCUCAAGGUUUUAAAAAAAACUUACUUAAGAACACAGUAAAUGUUUAAAACCAAUUAUUUUCAGAAAAUCAAAAAUGACAGCCUAGCCAUUAAAUUUAAUCAUGGAUUAAUUCCUCUGCAAAUGUAAAUGUACUUUUUUUAAAAACCCACCAUUUUUAUUAUUUUUUUAAUGAUUUUUAUUUUUUUACAUUAUAGCUGGUUUAUAGUGUUCCAUCCAUUUUCUACUGUACGGCAAAGUGACCCAGUCACACAUACAUAUAUACAUUCUUUUUUCUCACAUUAUCCUCCAUCAUGCUCCAUCAUAAAUGAUUAGAUACAGUUCCCACUGGUAAAAGUGAAAUAAAAUUUCUUUAGAAUUUCUCUGCUUCAGUAAGAUUUUCAGCUCUUUGUGGGAGACCUCUUUUGAUCUGGACACUGAAAGCCUAGGUCUCAGACUUCAUUCCUAACAAAUCAGGCUGCAAUAGAGUAUUUGAAAAUUUAUGCAAAUGUUAGAAAAGGCUUAAUGAGAUAAUUCAAUGCCCUGGAUCCCCACUCUAGGAACACAGGAACAUUCUGAACUUUCAGAAGCGAUAACGCCUUUGCAGAUUUUCAGUCAUCCAGAUUUUUAGUCAUCAAGACGUAGAAGGGAGGGCUAUUUUGAGGAGGCUCAGGUGACUUCCCGGAACUUUGUGAAUACCACAGGAGAAGCCCUUGACCACAGGAGAAGCCCUUGACCAGUCUGACUUUAAGGCCUACUCUGGUCAAGGUCGUCUUUCUGAGAUCAUAAAAGGAAUGACUUCAAUAUCUCAGGGUCAUUAAGUGUUCACCCCUGCCCCCACCCCAAAGAGCAUGCAACACAGAAGUGUGGUAGAAAGCAAAUGCAAAAGCAAGAACUAUAUUUAUUGAUUUUAUAAGAGCCCAAUGUGCUAGUGUUAAUAAAAACACUUUGUAUUUUGUGAAUACAUUCAUUAGUAAUAUACAUUUAUAAAAUUCUCUAAUCUACAUAGGACUGAUGUAAGGAAAAUUACUUUACCAACAUAAGGCUGUUAACAGCUGUAGAAAAAUAUGGAAAAAAUACGCCAGUACAUGAGACGAAGAUAAGCAGAUCAAAGUUGUAAAGUAUGAGAAUAUACCAUGUAUCAGCCACAUAUAAGAGCACAAAAAAAUAAGCUGAGGAGGAAACUGACCUCCAGAGUGUUAACUUAAUGAAAUCACAGAAUACCGAGCAAAAACCUAAACUGAAAAUGCUUUAAAACCUGUGCCUUCAGUCACCUACGGGAACUUGUAUAAGUGGGCAAAGGAUGGUGAGAUGGAAGUUUCAUUUCUAGCCUUCACGAAAAGCACUGGUUCAGAAUAAUAAUUUAAAAUAUUAACCAGAAGCUUCAUAUAUAUAUACAUAGAAUUAAUUUUAUUUUUAUUGGGGAACAAUAAAUACCAUUCCAAUUGCCUUUACCUU
ensembl:lncRNA